rnacentral:tRNA from 1 species
GAGGGAAUAGCUCAGUGGUAGGGUACAUGCCUAGCAUGCCUGAGGUCUUGGGUUCAAUCCCCUGUACCUCCA